UACGUAGGGUGCGAGCGUUAAUCGGAAUUACUGGGCGUAAAGCGUGCGCAGGCGGUUUUGUAAGCCAGAUGUGAAAGCCCCGGGCUUAACCUGGGAAUGGCAUUUGGGACUGCAAGGCUUGAGUGCGGCAGAGGAGACUGGAAUUCCCGGUGUAGCAGUGAAAUGCGUAGAUAUCUGGAGGAACACCGGUGGCGAAGGCGGCAUCCUGGACCGGUAUUGACGCUGAUGCGCGAAAGCCAGGGGAGCAAACGGG
rnacentral:rRNA from 1 species